ACACACACAUACCUCAUUCACACACACUGCCCUCCUCCUUCCAUGACACACACACACUCCUCCCGCCCGGGUCGCACCGACUCGGCUGGCUGCUCUGCCGUCUCUCUCAUGUGACAGAUGAGUGUGUGUGAAGCAUUUCAUUCAGGCUCACAGCUCAGUUUCAAGACUGCUGCAAAACGAUCCAAGGACCCACAGUCACUAGUAGGGAUGGAGUGGACUGGAGUGAGCAGAGAGGAUGGAGAGUGUGUGUGUGUGUGUGUGUCUGAGAUUUGUGCUUUUUGUUGUUUGUGUGCUCACCCUCUAAGCAACCCUCUCAUAACACCAUAGCAUCUCUCUCUCUGCUCUAGCAGUAGAGCCCUAGUGGCUGGGGGACAUGCGAUAUUAUAAGGAGUGUAGGAUGGAACGUAGGGAUAAUCUAUCUAUAGGGUGUCUUCAUACGGACGAUGAGGCACUGAUUGGCUAGUUUUUAUUGCGUCUCACUACCAGUUUCAGUGGGGUCUAGUCAUUCUACAGAACCUAAUAGGCAGAUCAUGGUGGUAGUGGGGUCUAGUCAUACUACAGAACCUAAUAGGCAGAUCAUGGUGGUAGUGGGGUCUAGUCAUUCUAUUAAACCUAGUAGGCAGAUCAUGGUGGUAGAAUGGGGUUUAGUCAUUCUACAGAACCUUGUAGGCAGAUCAUGGUGGUAGUGGGGUCUAGUCAUUAUAUUAAACCUAGUAGGCAGAUCAUGGUGGUAGAGUGGGGGCUAGUCAUUCUACAGAACCUAGUAGGCAGAUCAUGGUGGUAGUGGGGUCUAGUCAUUCUAUUAAACCUAGUAGGCAGAUCAUGGUGGUAGUGGGGUCUAGUCAUUCUAUUAAACCUAGUAGGCAGAUCAUGGUGGUAGUGGGGUCUGGUCAUUCUAUUAAACCUAGUAGGCAGAUCAUGGUGGUACAUAGUAUGACAGGGCCUCUCAGGUUGUCAGCUAGUGUGAGUCUGCCCCUUUAUUAAAGCAUCUGAGGAAAACUCAUUCUCAUCCACACACUAAUGUUCUCUUCCUCUCUUUCACACACAGACCUGUGUUUGCUGUGUGUAAUUUGCUCGCCUGCCUGCUGCCUAUGGGCCUGUGGACGAUGCUCUACAUAUGGAGAGGGAGAGAGAGAAGGAGCCUUCCUUGG
ensembl:lncRNA